rnacentral:rRNA from 1 species
CCUACGGGUGGCUGCAGUGGGGAAUAUUGCGCAAUGGGCGAAAGCCUGACGCAGCGACGCCGCGUAGGUGAUGAAGGCCUUCGGGUUGUAAAGCCCUGUCGGGUGGAACGAACGAUCUGGCGGCGAAUAACCGCCGGGUGUGACGGUACCGGAAGAAGAAGCACCGGCUAACUACGUGCCAGCAGCCGCGGUAAUACGUAGGGUGCGAGCGGUAAUCGGAAUUACUAGGCGUAAAGCGUGCGCAGGCGGCAAAUCCCCGGGCUUAACCUGGGAACUGCGUUUGUGACUGUGGUGCUCGAGUGCGGCAGAGGGGGGUGGAAUUCCACGUGUAGCAGUGAAAUGCGUAGAGAUGUGGAGGAACACCGAUGGCGAAGGCAGCCCCCUGGGUCGACACUGACGCUCAUGCACGAAAGCGUGGGGAGCAAACAGGAUUAGAUACCCCAGUAGUC